AGAACGAACGCUGGCGGCAGGCCUAAUACAUGCAAGUCGAACGCCGUAGCAAUACGGAGUGGCAGACGGGUGAGUAACGCGUGGGAACCUUCCUAAUGGUACGGAAUAGCCCGGGGAAACCCGGAGUAAUACCGUAUAAGCCCGUAAGGGGAAAGAUUUAUCGCCAUUAGAUGGGCCCGCGUCGGAUUAGCUAGUUGGUAGGGUAACGGCCUACAAGGCUACGAUCCGUAGCUGGUCUGAGAGGAUGAUCAGCCACACUGGGACUGAGACACGGCCCAGACUCCUACGGGAGGCAGCAGUAGGGAAUAUUGGACAAUGGGCGAAAGCCUGAUCCAGCCAUGCCGCGUGAGUGAUGAAGGCCUUCGGGUUGUAAGCUCUUUGGCGGGACGAUAAUGACGGUACCGCAGAAUAAGCCCGGCUAACUUCGUAGCCGAGCAGCCGC
rnacentral:rRNA from 1 species